CGAUAACGAGUUGUCUCUAUAAAGACAGACACAUAGACAUAUGAGCAGUAGAUUGUGUCCUUCCAGAGGAGGAAAUCUACUUCUAGACUUCUAGAAUCAGCAUCUCCUCAUCCAUGGUGUCAUCGGGGUGAAAUGACGUCUAAAAACCUUUCACUUGUUCGUCUCCGCCCGUUUGCAUGGUGUGAAAUACGAUCCUCCUGAAACACGGAGUGUUUUAUUUUGAAAAGAAGCCGGAUGUUUUAUUUUGUCUCUGUGCCCGACUUCCUUUCCAGCACGGGUUAAUCUGUGCUGAAUUUAUCCAGCAUGCUCCGGCGUCUGGAAAAAUUAGAACUCUUGCGAUCCGCAGCGGAGCGGAAA